rnacentral:rRNA from 1 species
AGAGCGAACGCUGGCGGCAUGCUUAACACAUGCAAGUCGCACGGGCAGGGGCAACCCUGUCAGUGGCGGACGGGUGAGUAACGCGUAGGUAUCUAUCCUUGGGUGGGGGACAACUGUGGGAAACUACAGCUAAUACCGCAUGAUAACUGAGGUUUAAAGGCGCAAGUCGCCUGGGGAGGAGCCUGUGUACGAUUAGCUUGUUGGUGGGGUAAAGGCCUACCAAGGCGACGAUCGUUAGCUGGUCUGAGAGGAUGAUCAGCCACAUUGGGACUGAGACACGGCCCAAACUCCUACGGGAGGCAGCAGUGGGGAAUCUUGCGCAAUGGGGGAAACCCUGACGCAGCGACGCCGCGUGCGGGAUGAAGGCCUUCGGGUUGUAAACCGCUUUCAGCAGGGACGAAAUUGACGGUACCUGCAGAAGAAGGCCCGGCCAACUACGUGCCAGCAGGCCGC